rnacentral:lncRNA from 1 species
UUUUGAUAAAUAAAGCAUGUCCCCACUCUACUAGGCUUUUAGAUUAGGCGGUUGAAUGCUAUGUAUUUGAUCCAAGUCAAAAAUCUUCUAAUUAAAAAAAAAAAAAACCCAAUAGGGGAAAGAAAAAACUAACAUCAUUUGGUCGACUACUUGUUGCAGGACCAUGAUUACAAGAUUAGGGCCAACGCCUUCACGAAAAGUGGCAAAUCGGGCUGGUCAUCCUCCGCAGAGGAUUGGAAGGCAGACUGCUGAAGUGAAACGAAAAGCCGGUAACAGAAAGUAGGAAACCUGUUGAGGGCUGUGCUAAGGCUAUCUUUUAAUCUUUUGUUCUUUUCUGAUAGAGGAUGUGAAAGAGGAUAUAUGUAGAUUUUUUCAUUCUUUUCUGUUUUGUUUUUCACAGUCAUCGUUCGUAUAUAUGGAAAUGUAGCAACUAUUCCAGUUGCGUGUAUUGAUAUCAUGUGACAAUUCUUUUGUUGGAAACAUAUAUAUACCUGUAUUUUCUAUUACUGGGU